UCUUUAGAAAGUGCCUAACCACG
rnacentral:siRNA from 1 species